rnacentral:rRNA from 1 species
AGAGUUUGAUCAUGGCUCAGAUUGAACGCUGGCGGCAUGCCUUACACAUGCAAGUCGAACGGCAGCACGGGGGCAACCCUGGUGGCGAGUGGCGAACGGGUGAGUAAUACAUCGGAACGUGCCCAGUAGUGGGGGAUAGCCCGGCGAAAGCCGGAUUAAUACCGCAUACGACCUAUGGGUGAAAGCGGGGGACCGCAAGGCCUCGCGCUAUUGGAGCGGCCGAUGUCAGAUUAGGUUGUUGGUGGGGUAAAAGCCCACCAAGCCGACGAUCUGUAGCUGGUCUGAGAGGACGACCAGCCACACUGGGACUGAGACACGGCCCAGACUCCUACGGGAGGCAGCAGUGGGGAAUUUUGGACAGUGGGGGCAACCCUGAUCCAGCCAUGCCGCGUGCGGGAAGAAGGCCUUCGGGUUGUAAACCGCUUUUGUCAGGGAAGAAAUCCCUUGGGCUAAUACCCCGAGGGGAUGACGGUACCUGAAGAAUAAGCACCGGCUAACUACGUGCCAGCAGCCGCGGUAAUACGUAGGGUGCAAGCGUUAAUCGGAAUUACUGGGCGUAAAGCGUGCGCAGGCGGUUGUGCAAGACAGAUGUGAAAUCCCCGGGCUCAACCUGGGAACUGCAUUUGUGACUGCACAGCUUGAGUGCGGCAGAGGGGGAUGGAAUUCCGCGUGUAGCAGUGAAAUGCGUAGAUAUGCGGAG